rnacentral:rRNA from 1 species
AUUGAACGCUGGCGGCAGGCCUAACACAUGCAAGUCGGACGGUAGCACAGAGAGCUUGCUCUCGGGUGACGAGUGACGGACGGGUGAGUAAUGUCUGGGGAUCUGCCCGAUAGAGGGGGAUAACCACUGGAAACGGUGGCUAAUACCGCAUAACGUCGCAAGACCAAAGAGGGGGACCUUCGGGCCUCUCACUAUCGGAUGAACCCAGAUGGGAUUAGCUAGUAGGCGGGAUAACGGCCCACCUAGGCGACGAUCCCUAGCUGGUCUGAGAGGAUGACCAGCCACACUGGAACUGAGACACGGUCCAGACUCCUACGGGAGGCAGCAGUGGGGAAUAUUGCACAAUGGGCGCAAGCCUGAUGCAGCCAUGCCGCGUGUAUGAAGAAGGCCUUCGGGUUGUAAAGUACUUUCAGCGGGGAGGAAGGCGAUGUGGUUAAUAACCGCAUUGAUUGACGUUACCCGCAGAAGAAGCACCGGCUAACUCCGUGCCAGCAGCCGCCGUAACAC